rnacentral:rRNA from 1 species
AUACGCAGGUGACAAGCGUUAUCCGGAUUUACUGGGCGUAAAGGGCGUGUAGGCGGUCUUGCAAGUCAGAAGUGAAAUUCCUGAGCUCAACUCGGGCGCUGCUUCUGAAACUGCAGGACUUGAGUGCUGGAGGGGAUAGCGGAAUUCCUAGUGGAGCGGUAAAAUGCGCAGAUAUUAGGAAGAACACCGGUGGCGAAGGCGGCUAUCUGGACAGUAACUGACGCUGAGGCGCGAAAGCGUGGGGAGCAAACAGGAUUAGAUACCCGGGUAGUCCACGCCGUAAACGAUGAAUACUAGGUGUAGGGGGUAUCGACUCCCUCUGUGCCGCAGUUAACACAAUAAGUAUUCCGCCUGGGGAGUACGGCCGCAAGGUUGGAACUCAAAGGAAUUGACGGGG